AGAAAAACAUUCCUCGAGCGUCGCUGUGAUGUCGUGGUCGGAUGAGGCGUCUGCCAGCAAGAAGAACACAUUUUAAAAUGGACUAUUUGGCUGGAGAACGGGAAGAGAGCUGUGCCAGUUGUGAGUUUACAGCGGAGGUAAAGAGAAGAAAGUCACCCAGGCAGCAGUGGGAGCAGGACUUGUUCUCAGGAUAAAAAGCAGGAACAAGACGCGGAUGUGCAGAUACAGUACAGCAUCUGAUGCUGCCAUGAUUGCGAGGAGCUGGAGCAGUGUGGGAUACAGAGCACUCAGAGUGGGCGGGCCUUCUUCCACCUUUCAGCUCCUUCUUAUUCUCUUUGGUCACUUACU